rnacentral:rRNA from 1 species
AUUGAACGCUGGCGGCAUGCUUUACACAUGCAAGUCGAACGGCAGCGCGGGCUUCGGCCUGGCGGCGAGUGGCGAACGGGUGAGUAAUACAUCGGAACGUGCCCCGUAGUGGGGGAUAGCUCGGCGAAAGCCGGAUUAAUACCGCAUACGACCUGAGGGUGAAAGCGGGGGGUCUUCGGACCUCGCGCUAUUGGAGCGGCCGAUGGCAGAUUAGCUAGUUGGUGGGGUAAAGGCCUACCAAGGCGACGAUCUGUAGCUGGUCUGAGAGGACGACCAGCCACACUGGAACUGAGACACGGCCCAGACUCCUACGGGAGGCAGCAGUGGGGAAUGUUGGACAAUGGGCGAAAGCCUGACCCAGCAAUGCCGCGUGUGUGAUGAAGGCCUUCGGGUUGUAAAGAAGUUCUGGCGGGAACGAAAAGGAUUGUGCCAAUACCACGGUUCGAUGACGGUACCCGCAGAAUAAGCACCGGCUAACUACGUG